rnacentral:misc_RNA from 1 species
UCCGUCUUGACGACGGCAGUCUCUCUAGAGUGCCCAGCUUUACCUGAUGUCAAGGCCUGGUAAGGUUCUGCGCGUUGCGUCGAAUUAAACCACAUGCUCCACCGCUUGUGCGGGCCCCCGUCAAUUCCUUUGAGUUUCAACCUUGCGGCCGUACUCCCCAGGCGGGAUGCUUAAUGCGUUAGCUGCGCCACUGAUAAGCAUGCUUACCAACGGCUAGCAUCCAUCGUUUACGGCGUGGACUAC